rnacentral:rRNA from 1 species
GACGAACGCUGGCGGCGUGCUUAACACAUGCAAGUCGAACGGAAAGGCCCUGCUUUUGUGGGGUGCUCGAGUGGCGAACGGGUGAGUAAAACGUGAGUAACAUGUCCUUGUCUUUGGGAUAACUUCAGGAAACUGGGGCUAAUACCGGAUAGGAGCUCUUGCUGCAUGGUGGGGGUUGGAAAGUUUCGGCGGUUGGGGAUGGACUCGCGGGUUAUCAGCUUGUUGGUGGGGUAGUGGCUUACCAAGGCUUUGACGGCUAGCCGGCCUGAGAGGGUGACCGGCCACAUGGGGACUGAGAUACGGCGCAGACUCCUACGGGAGGCAGCAGUGGGGAAUAUUGCACAAUGGGGGGAAGCCUGAUACAGCAACGCCGCGUGCGGGAUGCUGGCUUUCGGGUUGUAAACCACUUUCGCCUGUAACGAAGCGUGAGUGACGGUAAUGGGUAAAGAAGCACCGGCUAACUACGUG